UUGUGAGUCCAGGUCUGUGACUUGGUUUUGACCUUGCCACCUACCCCAUCGCUUUGUAAUGCAGAGAUGCAGCCCCAGAUUCCCAGAGAAGCCAGGGCUUCUGACAGAAUCGAAACCCCUUCCUCUCUCUCAUUUAGAAUAGUCCCUCUUCUCCAGGGACUUUGAGUUGAAACUACAACCUGGUCCUGAAGCUUGAGUUGAACCUACUUGAUCAAGUCCUGGAAGAAAAAUCAAAGGCUACUGAGGAAGAAUCAUGUGCAGUGCCCAAAGUCCCUGAACAAAAAGGACUUAGUCUUUGAAGAUUGGGUCAGAUGGCUCAGUGCCCUGCAGGGAGAGAAAAAGGCUCGAUGGAGUUAGGAACCCUUGGGCAGGGGUGAAAUUGUAUUUCUGUGUGUGGUGGCCCUAAGAGAGGAUGGGAUCUGAAGACAAAGAGAGAGGGCUCCAGGUGACCGCGAAGGGCCCGAGGGGACAGGCUGUCAGGCAUUUGGACCUUAAGAACUGAGGUUGGGGCUGGAGAUGAAGAUGUGAGAGGCCUCUGAGCAGAGAUGAAACCAGAAGUGCAGAGGGAUGGAGAAAGAGAGAGAGGAGACCAAUGACAGAAGUUGGGACAACAGCCAUCGUUGGGGCCAAGAGGAAGGAGAGCAGAUGGAGCAGCCCCAGAAAGAGGGGUCACAGGGGCCGGAGACUAGGAGGCAAAGGGAGAGUGCAACUCCCUGUUGUGUCCAGCCUCCACGGGCUUCUGCCACUUUGCCAGGCUGACCUCUCUGCUGGUCCACGCUCCCCAAUGUGUGUGCACAUAUGGCAUG